UACGUAGGGUGCAAGCGUUGUCCGGAAUUAUUGGGCGUAAAGAGCUCGUAGGCGGUCUGUCGCGUCGGCUGUGAAAUCCCGGAGCUCAACUCCGGGUCUGCAGUCGAUACGGGCAAACUGGAGUACUGCAGGGGAGACUGGAAUUCCUGGUGUAGCGGUGAAAUGCGCAGAUAUCAGGAGGAACACCGAUGGCGAAGGCAGAUCUCUGGGCCGUAACUGACGCUGAGGUGCGAAAGCGUGGGGAGCAAACAGG
rnacentral:rRNA from 1 species